rnacentral:rRNA from 1 species
CCUACGGGUGGCAGCAGUGAGGAAUAUUGGUCAAUGGGCGAGAGCCUGAACCAGCCAAGUCGCGUGAGGGAGUACUGCCCUAUGGGUUGUAAACCUCUUUUGUCGGGGAGCAAAAGCCGGACGUGUCCGGCUGUGAGAGUACCCGAAGAAAAAGCAUCGGCUAACUCCGGGCCAGCAGCCGCGUUAAUACGGAGGAUGAGAGCGUUAUCCGGAGUUAUUGGGUUUAAAGGGUGAGCAGGGGGAUUUUUAAGUCAGCGGUCAAAUAGUGGGGGUCAACCCCAUCCAGCGGUUGAAACGGGGGAUGUAGAGGGGGCGAGAGGUAUGCGGAAUGCGGGGUGUAGCGGUGAAAGGCAUAGAGAUCACGCAGAACCCCGAUUGCGAAGGCAGCAUACCGGUGCACAACUGACGCUCAGGCACGAAAGCGGGGGUAUCGAACAGGAUUAGAUACCCUUGUAGUC